UUUUAGCCCCGAUUGCAGCGGCAUCCUUUUUUGCUUAUCCGAAUUUACUUUUUUUAAAUAGGUUUUCAAAGCAAAAAAGAUAGAGCGGAAAGCGGGACGAGUC
rnacentral:sRNA from 2 species